rnacentral:rRNA from 1 species
UACCAGCACCCCGAGUGGUCGGGACGAUUAUUGGGCCUAAAGCAUCCGUAGCCGGUCAUGCAAGUCCUCCGUUAAAUCCACCUGCUUAACAGAUGGGCUGCGGAGGAUACUACAAGACUAGGAGGCAGGAGAGGCAAGCGGUACUCAGUGGGUAGGGGUAAAAUCCGUUGAUCCAUUGAAGACCACCAGUGGCGAAGGCGGCUUGCCAGAAUGCGCUCGACGGUGAGGGAUGAAAGCUGGGGGAGCAAACCGG